rnacentral:rRNA from 1 species
CCUACGGGUGGCAGCAGUGAGGAAUAUUGGUCAAUGGCCGCAGGGCUGAACCAGCCAAGUCGCGUGAGGGAUGACGGUCCUAUGGAUUGUAAACCUCUUUUGUCAGGGAGCAAAGGGAGCCACGUAUGGCGCUUUGCGAGUACCUGAAGAAAAAGCAUCGGAUAACUCCGUGCCAGCCGCCGCGGUAAUACGGAGGAUGCGAGCGUUAUCCGGAUUUAUUGGGUUUAAGGGGUGCGCAGGCGGAAGGUCAAGUCAGCGGUAAAAUUUCGGGGCUCAACCCCGUCGUGCCGUUGAAACUGGCGUUCUUGAGUGAGCGAGAGGUAUGCGGAAUGCGUGGUGUAGCGGUGAAAUGCAUAGAUAUCACGCAGAACUCCGAUUGCGAAGGCAGCAUACCGGCGCUCAACUGACGCGCAUGCACGAAAGCGUGGGUAUCGAACAGGAUUAGAUACCCCUGUAGUC